rnacentral:rRNA from 1 species
UACGUAGGGGGCUAGCGUUGUCCGGAAUCAUUGGGCGUAAAGAGCGUGUAGGCGGUCCGGUAAGUCCGCUGUGAAAGUCGGGGGCUCAACCCUCGAAUGCCGGUGGAUACUGUCGGGCUAGAGUGCGGAAGAGGCGAGUGGAAUUCCUGGUGUAGCGGUGAAAUGCGCAGAUAUCAAGAGGAACACCUGCGGCGAAGGCGGGUUGCUGGGCCGACACUGACGCUGAGGCGCGGAAAGCCAGGGGAGCGAACGGG